rnacentral:lncRNA from 1 species
GAAGAAAUCGCCUUUAUAUUUUCGAGGUAGCGUACUCGAUUGUGUACUGUGGGUUGUUGAUUUGGUAUGACCAAUUACAGUAAAACUUUUGUUUGCCUCGUUUGAAACUUUAAGUAUCACAUAAAGACUAGGAGUCAGAAUGAUGUAGCGAGGUUCGGGGACAUGUCGUCCCUCAAAAUGUGGCACUGUUACGUUGGCGGCUC